rnacentral:rRNA from 1 species
CACGGAGGGUGCGAGCGUUAUCCGGAAUUACUGGGUUUAAAGGGUGCGUAGGCGGCGCUGUAAGUCAGGAGUGAAAGUUUGCGGCUCAACCGUAAAAUUGCUUUUGAUACUGCGGUGCUGGAAUUAGGAUGAGGUCAGCGGAAUGUGGCAUGUAGCGGUGAAAUGCAUAGAUAUGCCAUAGAACACCAAUUGCGAAGGCAGCUGGCUAGACCUGGAUUGACGCUGAGGCACGAAAGCGUGGGGAGCGAACAGG